CCCUUAGAUGUUCUGGGCCGCACGCGUGCUACACUGAUGCAUUCAACGAGUCUAAAACCUGGUCUGAUAGGGCUGGGUAAUCUUUUGAAAGUGCAUCGUGAUUGGGAUAGAUGAUUGCAAUUCUUCAUCUUCAACGAGGAAUGCCUAGUAAACGCAAGUCAUCAGCUUGCAUUGAUUACGUCCCUGCCCUUUGUACACACCGCCCGUCGCUCCUACCGAUUGAACGAUCCGAUGAAAACUGUGGAUUGAGAGUCUGAGUGGGUUCGCCUACCUCAACUUUCGAGAAGCGGUUUAAAUCUUAUCGUUUAGAGGAAGGAGAAGUCGUAACA
rnacentral:rRNA from 1 species